AAAUGGAGUCUGACUCUGUGGCCCAGGCUGGAGUGCAGUGGCACAAUUUUGGCUUGCUGCAACCUCUACCUCCCAGGUUCAAGCGAUUCUCUUGCCUUGACCUUCCAAGUAACUGGGAUUACAGAUGGAGUCUUGCUGUGUGCCCAGGCUGGAGUGCAAUGGCUCCAUCUAAGCUCUCUGCAGCCUCCGCCUUCUGGGUUCAAGCAAUUCUACUGCCUCAGCCUCCUGAGUAACUGGGAUCACAGGCAUGUGCCACCAUGCUCAUCUAAUUUUUUUUUUUUUUUUUGUAUUUUUAGUAAAGACGAGGUUUCACCAUGUUGGCCAGGCUGGUCUCGAACUCCUGACCUUGUGAUCUGCCCGCCUCGGUCUCCCGAAGUGCUGGGAUGACAGGCAUGAGCCACUGUGCCCAGCCUCAAAGAUUCUUAUGAGUCUCGCAGAUGCCAGAGAAGAUGCCAUGACCUACACUUGCAAACUCCCAGAAGACUUAAAGCUAUUGUUUUGCAAAUGCACAGAUAAGUAUAAAUAACAUGACGCUGUGGAUGAGCAUGAAAGUUUUUCUCUUACUCCUAAUUAUGAUGUUUUCUAUCUUACCACUUUGCCCUGCUGAUGGAAUUCAAUAAAGGAAUCUCUACCAGCAGGCACUUGGUUUUUACCCUUCCUAGGACCUUUAACAGAUAUCUUGUUAUUACUAAUCUUUGAUCCUUGCUUGUUUAACCUCCUUGUAAAGUUUGUGUCUUCUAGAUUACAAUAAUUUCAUGUAAAGAUGAUGCUGGCACAAGGCUUCCAACCCAUCCCCACUUCUGACCCAGAAAAUAAAGACAUCCUGCCUUUGGGCCUUUUAGAACAGGUAUCCAGAGAUUAUACUUCUCCAAUGCUAAGCAGGGUCUACGCCCAUAACAUCAACAGGAAGCAGUUACAGAAGAUGAAUCUCUACCCUUCUGCAAGCCCAUUAAGAUUAAGGAGGAGUGUAUAAUCUCUGACGGGGAAAUGAGGUAGGAGACCAGUAGGACUUAUUUUCCAGUCACAACCCCAUUGAACAGAGCAGGAUCUGGUCAAAACAGGGCGCAGUGAAGAAGCCUGCUGAAACCAGCGGAUGAUGAUGAAAGUGACCUCUAGUUGCCCUCACUGCUUGUGAGCAUAAAGACACUACCACUGGGACAUGGCCAAUUUACAAAUGUCAUGGCAACACACCUUGGCAAUGACCUGGAAGUUACUUUAUAUGGUUCUGGAAACUCCCUGUCCCUUUUCCAGAAAGUAUUGAAUAAUCUACCCCUUAAUUGGCAUGUAAUUAAAAGUGGGUCUAAAUACAACUAGCUAGCAGCCCACAGGCACCAACUCUGGGCACACUGCCUAUGGAUUAGCCCUGCUCUGCAAGAAGCAGCACCAGUUCAAUAAAAGUUGCUUUCUCUCA